AAGCAAACGAAAUGUUCUUCCUCACCUCUCCACCCGCUUUGAAGCAGGAAUCGAUAGAAGAAUGCGACGUAGCGUGAAGAAAAAAAGGAACAAGCCACGCAUUCCUCGAGAUAUAAACUUACUCAUUGAACGAUGUGAAAUCCAGCACCAAUGGAUUAAAAUUAUCUUCAUUCAAUGAUUGAAGACUAUAACUUCCCCAUAAAUUGAUACUUUUUUCAUCCAAUUUGAAUUUGUCAAUCUUCAAUUCUACAAAUUUUGCCCAAAAUGUACAAUCUGUAGUAGAUCUGAGUUUUGUAAAUUUUACAAAUUCCGACAUUUUUAAUUUCUGAAAAUGAUUUAAUCAUGUAAUAAUGUAAUAUUCAUAUAUUUAAUAAAAAUAUAACACCGAAAUGAUAACAAUAAUAAUAUUUAUAAAACACAA